AAAGAAGAAUCAUUGGAGGUCGUCAACU
rnacentral:piRNA from 1 species